rnacentral:rRNA from 1 species
GGACGAACGCUGGCGGCGUGCUUAACACAUGCAAGUCGAACGGAAAGGCCCUGCUUGCAGGGUACUCGAGUGGCGAACGGGUGAGUAACACGUGGGUGAUCUGCCCUGCACUUCGGGAUAAGCUUGGGAAACUGGGUCUAAUACCGGAUAGGACCGCACUUUAGUGUGUGUGGUGGAAAGUUUUUUCGGUGUAGGAUGAGCUCGCGGCCUAUCAGCUUGUUGGUGGGGUAAUGGCCUACCAAGGCGGCGACGGGUAGCCGGCCUGAGAGGGUGUACGGCCACAUUGGGACUGAGAUACGGCCCAGACUCCUACGGGAGGCAGCAGUGGGGAAUAUUGCACAAUGGGCGCAAGCCUGAUGCAGCGACGCCGCGUGGGGGAUGAAGGCCUUCGGGUUGUAAACUCCUUUCGCUAGGGACGAAGCUUUUUGUGACGGUACCUAGAUAAGAAGCACCGGCUAACUACGUG